AAUUCUUAACUGAUCAUUGAAUGCCCGACGCGAACACAACAUUUGUCGUCGAGCGAAUCAAAACAAAGAGGGAGCACAAAAACAAAUUAUAUGCCCCAAAAGCUGAGCUUAUGAAAUAGCAACCACUACACAUGUAUGCAAAGAAACACACACACACACACAGACACGUCUUAUUGUAGGCCGAUCUGGGCAAGGCAAAGCCAACGAGCGAUCAUAACUGGCCCGACAUCCGAGUGGCACUGGCACCUCGUGCGUAAGUCAAAGUGCCGGCAACGCAAUGUGUUGCUACACACAUGCACACACACACACA